rnacentral:rRNA from 1 species
ACGUUAGCGGCGGACGGGUGAGUAACACGUGGGUAACCUACCUAUAAGACUGGGAUAACUUAGGGAAACCGGAGCUAAUACCGGAUAAUAUUUCGAACCGCAUGGUUCGAUAGUGAAAGAUGGUUUUGCUAUCACUUAUAGAUGGACCCGCGCCGUAUUAGCUAGUUGGUAAGGUAACGGCUUACCAAGGCGACGAUACGUAGCCGACCUGAGAGGGUGAUCGGCCACACUGGAACUGAGACACGGUCCAGACUCCUACGGGAGGCAGCAGUU